rnacentral:tRNA from 1 species
GGGCCUGGAGCGGCACGAGGAGGCCGCCGGGCGGCUGCGGGCGGUUCUCGGGCAGGGCGACCUGCCCCUGUCGCUGGUCACGACGGCGCGGGUGCU